rnacentral:rRNA from 1 species
CUUUGGACAAUAGUACAAGGUGCUGCAUGGUUGUCGUCAGCUCGUGCCGUGAGGUGUCGGGUUAAGUCCCAUAACGAGCGCAACCCCUAUCAUUAGUUGCCAUCAGGUCAAGCUGGGGACUCUAAUGAAACUGCCUACGCAAGUAGUGAGGAAGGUGGGGAUGACGUCAAAUCAGCACGGCCCUUACGGUCCAGGGCUACACACGUGCUACAAUGGCCGGUACAAAGGGCAGCUACCUGGUGACAGGAUGCUAAUCUCAAAAGCCGGUCUCAGUUCGGAUCGGAGUCUGCAACCCGACUCCGUGAAGUUGGAUUCGCUAGUAAUCGCGCAUCAGCCAUGGCGCGGUGAAUACGUUCCCGGGCCUU